rnacentral:rRNA from 1 species
UACGUAGGGGGCAAGCGUUGUCCGGAUUUAUUGGGCGUAAAGCGCGUGUAGGCGGUCCGGUAAGUCCGCUGUGAAAGUCGGGGGCUCAACCCUCGGAUGCCGGUGGAUACUGUCGGGCUUGAGUGCGGAAGAGGCGAGUGGAAUUCCUGGUGUAGCGGUGAAAUGCGCAGAUAUCAGGAGGAACACCGGUGGCGAAGGCGGGUCUCUGGGCCGAUACUGACGCUGAGGAGCGAAAGCGUGGGGAGCGAACAGG